rnacentral:rRNA from 1 species
GACGAACGCUGGCGGCGUGCUUAACACAUGCAAGUCGAACGGAAAGGCCCUGCUUUUGUGGGGUGCUCGAGUGGCGAACGGGUGAGUAACACGUGAGUAACCUGCCCUUGACUUUGGGAUAACUUCAGGAAACUGGGGCUAAUACCGGAUAGGAGCUCCUGCUGCAUGGUGGGGGUUGGAAAGUUUCGGCGGUUGGGGAUGGACUCGCGGCUUAUCAGCUUGUUGGUGGGGUAGUGGCUUACCAAGGCUUUGACGGGUAGCCGGCCUGAGAGGGUGACCGGCCACAUUGGGACUGAGAUACGGCCCAGACUCCUACGGGAGGCAGCAGUGGGGAAUAUUGCACAAUGGGCGGAAGCCUGAUGCAGCAACGCCGCGUGCGGGAUGACGGCCUUCGGGUUGUAAACCGCUUUCGCCUGUGACGAAGUGUGAGUGACUGUAAUGGGUAAAGAAGCACCGGCUAACUACGUG